rnacentral:rRNA from 1 species
UGAGUACGAGAUGCUACGGCAUCGAAGCAGUCUAUGUCAUACUUCCAAGAAAAGCUUGCACUGUCAGAAACAGAUAAUGCCUGUACCAUAACCGACACAGGUGGGUAGGUAGAGUAUACUAAGGGGCGCGAGAUAACUCUCUCUAAGGAACUCGGCAAAAUGACUCCGUAACUUCGGGAGAAGGAGUGCCUUAUUUUUAAGGUUGCAAUAACAAGAUCCAAGCAACUGUUUACCAAAAACACAGGUCUCCGCUAAGUCGUAAGACGAUGUAUGGGGGCUGACGCCUGCCCAGUGCCAGAAGGUUAAAGAAGUCGGUUAGCAUUCGCGAAGCUGGUAACUGAAGCCCUGGUGAACGGCGGCCGUAACAAUAACGGUCCUAAGGUAGCGAAAUUCCUUGUCGGGUAAGUUCCGACCCGCACGAAAGGCGUAAUGAUUUGGAUACUGUCUCGGAGAGGGGCUCGGUGAAAUAGACUUGUCUGUGAAGAUGCGGACUACCUGCACCUGGACAGAAAGACCCUAUGAAGCUUUACUGUAACUUGAAAUUGAAAUUGGACUUUAUUUGCGCAGUAUAGGUGGGAGGCGUUGAAAAUAUUCUUGCGGGAAUAUUGGAGCCAUCAGUGAGAUACCACUCUUGUAAUGUUAGAUUUCUAACUUUAUAUCAUUAUCUGGUUAAAGAACAGUUUCAGGCGGGCAGUUUGGCUGGGGCGGUCGCCUCCCAAAUGGUAACGGAGGCGCACAAAGGUUUCCUCUGAACGGGUAGAAAUCGUAUCUAGAGUGUAAAGGCAUAAGGAAGCUUGACUGUGAGACCUACAAGUCGAGCAGGGACGAAAGUCGGUCUUAGUGAGCUGACGGUGCUGAGUGGAAAGGCCAUCACUCAACGGAUAAAAGUUACUCUAGGAUAACAGGCUGAUCUCCCCCAAGAGUUCACAUCGACGGGGAGGUUUGGCACCUCGAUGUCGGCUCAUCGCAUCCUGGGGCGGUAGUACGUCCCAAGGGUUGGGCUGUUCGCCCAUGAAAGCGGUACGCGAGCUGGGUUCAGAACGUCGUGAGACAGUUCGGUCCAUAUCCGGUGUAGGCGUUAGAAUAUUGAGAGGAGCCUUCUUUAGUACGAGAGGACCGAGAAGGACAUACCUCUGGUGUGCCAGUUAUCGUGCCAACGGUAAACGCUGGGUAGCUAUGUAUGGAGUGGAUAACCGCUGAAAGCAUCUAAGUGGGAAGCCCACCUCAAGAUAAG